GACGAACGCUGGCGGCGUGCUUAACACAUGCAAGUCGAACGGAAAGGCCCUGCUCUUGUUGGGUGCUCGAGUGGCGAACGGGUGAGUAACACGUGAGUAACCUGCCCUUGACUUUGGGAUAACUUCAGGAAACUGGGGCUAAUACCGGAUAUGAGCUCCUGCUGCAUGGUGGGGGUUGGAAAGUUUCGGCGGUUGUGGAUGGUCUCGCGGCUUAUCCGCUUGUUUGUGGGGUAGUGGCUUACCAAGGUUUUGACGGGUAGCCGGCCUGAGAGGGUGACCGGCGACAUUGGGACUGAGAGAGGGCCCAGACGCCAACGGGAGGCAGCAGGGGAGAAUAUUGCGGAAUGAGGGGAAGCCUGAGGUAGCAAUCCCGGGUGCGGGAUGACGGCCUUCGGGUUAAAAACAGAUGUGGAAGGAGAUGAGCAGUGCGUGACGGUAAUGAGUAAGAAAGCACCGGCUAACUACGUG
rnacentral:rRNA from 1 species